rnacentral:tRNA from 5 species
GCCGACGUGGUGAAAUUGGUAGACACGCCGUCUUGAGGGGGCGGUGGCGCAAGCCGUGGCAGUUCGAGUCUGCUCGUCGGCACCA